GCCAAAGACUGCAGAUACCUCCUGGAGACUCUUCUGUACAAUCCUGAUUUAUAUGAAGGUCCUCCUGUUUUUUGUACCUGAUGAGCAGUUACACAGUCUGUUUGGAAGCAGCUGUGACAUAGAGUUGCUGCAGUCAGUGGAUGCCAUGACAGACCUACAGCGACAGUGGUGGCUGGAUAAAUGUACUCAAAAUGCGUACCUCAUCACUCCGAAGAGCAGCUAAAGACUAGG